UGAGACCCCAUAGAGAACAUGUGGUUGAUAGACCGGACGUGGAAGCCCCGCGAGGGGUGGAGCCGACGGCACUAACGGUCGAAGACAACCAACA
rnacentral:rRNA from 1 species